UACGUAGGGUGCAAGCGUUAAUCGGAAUUACUGGGCGUAAAGCGUGCGCAGGCGGUUUUGUAAGUCUGUCGUGAAAGCCCCGGGCUCAACCUGGGAAUUGCGAUGGAGACUGCAAGGCUUGAAUCUGGCAGAGGGGGGGUAGAAUUCCGCGUGUAGCAGUGAAAUGCGUAGAUAUGCGGAGGAACACCGAUGGCGAAGGCAAUCCCCUGGGCCUGCACUGACGCUCAUGCACGAAAGCGUGGGGAGCGAAACCAAGGAUUGAGAUACCCUUCGUUA
rnacentral:rRNA from 1 species